rnacentral:rRNA from 1 species
GAUGAACGCUGGCGGCGUGCCUAAUACAUGCAAGUCGAGCGAACAGACGAGGAGCUUGCUCCUCUGACGUUAGCGGCGGACGGGUGAGUAACACGUGGAUAACCUACCUAUAAGACUGGGAUAACUUCGGGAAACCGGAGCUAAUACCGUAUAACAUGUUGAACCGCAUGGUUCAACAGUGAAAGACGGUCUUGCUGUCACUUAUAGAUGGAUCCGCGCCGCAUUAGCUAGUUGGUAAGGUAACGGCUUACCAAGGCAACGAUGCGUAGCCGACCUGAGAGGGUGAUCGGCCACACUGGAACGGAGACACGGUCCAGACUCCUACGGGAGGCAGCAGUAGGGAAUCUUCCGCAAUGGGCGAAAGCCUGACGGAGCAACGCCGCGUGAGUGAAGAAGGUCUUCGGAUCGUAAAACUCUGUUAUUAGGGAAGAACAAAUGUGUAAGUAACUAUGCACGUCCUGACGGUACCUAAUCAGAAAGCCACGGCUAACUACGUG